GUUGCCACUGCUGUUGUGACCAAAAUCUUAACUAGGGAAAGGAAACUGCUUCAGAUUGGGGAGAGAGGAGAGAGAGGAGAGAGAGAUUUUUCGUGUUAAGAGAGAGAGAGGAAGCGUCAAGAGUUGUCAAGGAGAAAGACUAGCUAGUCGUAGAAAUCCUAGGAUCCAUACUUAUUAUCACUAAGUUUCAUUAUCAACAACCAGAGAUAUGAUGCACCAUACACCGCAAGAACAACAAUCUGUGCAGACUCCAAAACAACAGGAAUCGUUAGCUUCUCAUUUCAAUCUCUAUCCGUCCGUGGAAAAAUUAUCUGAAACGACUGAAACUGGAACACGAGAUCAAGAUUCUGAUGCUGUGUGGAAUUGCACUUGCCUUAGUGGAAUUGCAUUGUAGGUGACUGAAGUAAAAAGCCAUUUCGACAAAUGUCAACAGCUCUUGAGUUCAAUUUCAAUAUCCCUUGGAUCUUAUGAUAAAGAGUAUGUUGAUGGACAAAAGGGAAAAUUAGAAGAAAGUGAGCAAUUGCUUCAACAAAGAAAAGAAUUGAUUGAAGAAUAUAAGAAAUCUGCUGAAGAGAUUUUGAAGAAAGAGCCUUGAAGAAAUCUGUUGUAUUAUAUUUUCUUCUAUUUAGCAAUUUUGGUGCUAUAUACCAAGAAUUGUGAUGAGUGAACCAUGAAUAUUCAUUUUUUUUAUUUAACUCUAU